CCCUGCUGCCCGGCCCGCUUCGGGCUUGGCAUUGGGUAGGGGACCCAGAAAUGAAUCCGGUGUGAUGCCUGCCCUGGGCGGUGGGGUGGAGGUGGACCAGCACCCACAGCACCACGUGAUCGGUGGGCACGGAGACCCUUCAUCCGGGCCCAGGCCGUGGUGGUCAGUGAGGGCUUCUCAGAGCUGGAGGCAGGAGAGGCGAGGUGGGCACAGGUUGGAAGGUGAACAUGGUCCCAUCCUGGGACGUGUGAGUGAAGGCGACAGCCCAGGAACGAUGGAGCGGCAGGACAGAAGGAACCCGCGUGCUGAUGCCAAGGAACGCCAGCUCCUGGGUGGUUUAUGGGUGAAUCACUAUAUGAUGGUCAAUAAACUUCCCUCUCGUUUA